rnacentral:tRNA from 1 species
GCCUGGGCUAGCUCAGGAGGUAAGAGCGACUGUCUGGCUCGGAGGGUUGCCGGUUCAACCCCGGCCUGGGCA